rnacentral:rRNA from 1 species
CCUACGGGAGGCAGCAGUGAGGAAUAUUGGUCAAUGGACGCAAGCCUGAACCAGCCACGCCGCGUGCAGGAAGAAGGCUCUAUGAGUUGUAAACUGCUUUUGUACGAGGGUAAACGCAGAUACGCGUACCCGUAUGACAGUAUCGUACGAAUAAGGAUCGGCUAACUCCGUUCCAGCAGCCGCGGUAAUACGGAGGAUCCAAGCGUUAUCCGGAUUUAUUGGGUUUAAAGGGUGCGUAGGCGGUCGGAUAAGUCAGAGGUGAAAUCCCGAGGCUCAACUUCGGAAUUGCCUCUGAUACUGUGCGGCUAGAGAGUAGUUGCGGUAGGCGGAAUGUGUGGUGUAGCGGUGAAAUGCUUAGAGAUCAUGCAGAACACCGAUUGCGAAGGCAGCUUACCAAGCU